GGCGAUUUUUAUGUUAGGUUUUUUAAGUCUACAAAUCUUAGUUUACUAACAUACAAUGCAUUACCUGGAAUUACAAUUUGCCAAUUAAUAUUACAUUUUUUAAAUUAAAUUAGUACAAAUAUAAAAUGUAAUAAGCUUUAAAUAAGCUUUAGAAUUAAUGUAAUUUAUUAUUUAUUUAUUUAAAAAAGUAAACAUCACAUUUUUACUCUAGUAAGCUUUGUGAGACCACUUAAUCAGAUGAGAACGAGGUUCAGUUUGUUUGGUUUUGUCAACACAAAACCAACUCUGUAACUGAUUUUGUUUAACUCUCUUCAUGUGUUAGGCUCAAAAAACACAUUGGUGUUUUGAUGUAAAAUCAACCUUCAGAUGGCUUUCAUUUAUUUAGUAUACUAUUUUAGUCAUCAGGUCUAGGAUGAGUUACUAUUUGUCUGUGUUACUGUUUAAAUGUAGUUCGUCUGAAGUUCACAGUUUCAACAUGUUGCUUCAACCCUUGUCCUGUAGUCUGUGCUCUGAAUGGUGCUCGCAUUUUGAGUGUGGGCCAAGUGAUAGUUUCAAACAUCUUGAACUUUGAAACUUCCUUGUUACAGAGCCCUAAAAACAGGUUUUGUUAUACUGGAAGUUUCUUGACAGAAUAACAAAACAGUAUCCAUAUAUCUGUCACAACACAAGGCAGGUCUGCCAGGAAAAAUACACGGGCUAUUCACUUGAAGAAAUAAAAAAAGAAGCGCAGAAAUCUCUGAAACAUCUGAUUUCCCCUUCUCCAUGGAAAAAUGCUGUUUAUGACUUUGCUAUGGAAACGUAGGGAUUAUUUACUCUCGAGUCGGUUUACAAUAACCUUCCCUUUCCUGACCAAACAACAAAGGAAAUAUCGGGUGCUGGGUCAUUUUAACGCUGGGUUAUUUUUUUCUGCCUAACCACUGGGUUGACCUUGUCUCUGGUGAAACUUCUCAACAAUGUUGCUGCUGAGAGCACAGGCCUUUUAAGUCCACAGGAGAGAGCAGUUCUCUGUGUCGCCACCACCGAUUUGAUGCACUUUUUCCGGGAAAUAAAGGCUUUGGAGUCAGUCAUGCCAUCUCUCAGCUACGAGUGAAAUGCAAGGCCGCGGUCUAAAGUUCACAGUUCCCCUCAAACAGCAGCCCUUGACCAGCUCAAAUUUCGGCAACAAACCGGCACAAGAAUUAGCACUAUUUCGGUAAAAAGCGAUUACAGAGAAUGGUUGAAUACACUUAAAUUAAAAGUGCCCUUUUAUUUCUAAAAUGCUUGUUAAAGGAGUUUAAAUGUAUGUAAUAUUGUAACUAUGCUGUAUUCACCCAAAUUAAUUCAAUUUGUCUUGUAUUUUGUCCAUGGGUGUUCUUGCUUAAUAAUAAAUAUUCAUCUUUUGGUUA
ensembl:lncRNA